rnacentral:rRNA from 1 species
ACGCUGGCGGCGUGCCUAAUACAUGCAAGUAGAACGCUGAAGGAGAAGCUUGCUUCUCUGGAUGAGUUGCGAACGGGUGAGUAACGCGUAGGUAACCUGCCUGGUAGCGGGGGAUAACUAUUGGAAACGAUAGCUAAUACCGCAUAAUAGUAGAUGUUGCAUGACAUUUGCUUAAAAGGUGCAAUUGCAUCACUACCAGAUGGACCUGCGUUGUAUUAGCUAGUUGGUGGGGUAACGGCUCACCAAGGCGACGAUACAUAGCCGACCUGAGAGGGUGAUCGGCCACACUGGGACUGAGACACGGCCCAGACUCCUAUGGGAGGCAGCAGUAGGGAAUCUUCGGUAAUGGACGGAAGUCUGACCGAGCAACGCCGCGUGAGUGAAGAAGGUUUUCGGAUCGUAAAGCUCUGUUGUAAGAGAAGAACGAGUGUGAGAGUGGUAAGUUCACACUGUGACGGUAUCUUACCAGAAAGGGACGGCUAACUACGUGCCAGCAGCCGCGGUAAUACGUAGGUCCCGAGCGUUGUCCGGAUUUAUUGGGCGUAAAGCGAGCGCAGGCGGUUAGAUAAGUCUGAAGUUAAAGGCUGUGGCUUAACCAUAGUACGCUUUGGAAACUGUUUAACUUGAGUGCAAGAGGGGAGAGUGGAAUUCCAUGUGUAGCGGUGAAAUGCGUAGAUAUAUGGAGGAACACCGGUGGCGAAAGCGGCUCUCUGGCUUGUAACUGACGCUGAGGCUCGAAAGCGUGGGGAGCAAACAGGAUUAGAUACCCUGGUAGUCCACGCCGUAAACGAUGAGUGCUAGGUGUUAGACCCUUUCCGGGGUUUAGUGCCGUAGCUAACGCAUUAAGCACUCCGCCUGGGGAGUACGACCGCAAGGUUGAAACUCAAAGGAAUUGACGGGGGCCCGCACA